rfam:Mesocricetus auratus contig038440, whole genome shotgun sequence.
UGGAUUGAUGAUGACCAUUGAUUGUGUAUAGUCAUGAAUCAUGACUAUAAGUCUGUGAAUCAACUCCAC